AAAAUUUAAAUUUAAAAUACUAAAAUAGUAAAUAAAUAUUUGUUGAAACUUAAAUAAUUUGGCGGUGUUUUAGUUCAUUUAGAGGAAUCUGUUUAAUAAUUGAUAAUCCACGAAUAAAUUUACUUAAUUUAUAAUUUUGUAUAUCGUUGUUAAAAAAAUAUUUUUUAAUAAAAUUAAUAUUUAAAAAUUAGAAUAUAAAUUUAAAUCAGAUCAAGAUGCAGAUUAUAAUUAAGAAUAUAAUGGAUUACAAUAAAUUUAUUUAAAUGAAUUUUAAUUUGUAAAAAUUAAUUGAAAGUGGAUUUAAAUGUAAUUUUAUUUAAUUUAAUAAAAUGAUUAAAAAUUAAAAUAUGU
rnacentral:rRNA from 1 species